CUCCCAGUUCCUGAAGAUUUUCUCCUGUUUUUUUCUAAAAGUGUUCUAUUUUACAUUUGUAUUUGCUACAUUUACGUUUGCUCAGUCUGACAACUGCUGCCAAGAGGAAACCUUGGCUUGAUGGAAACUUCCAAGGGCUAGUGGAGAGCCACGGUGCUACACAGCUUACACUGAAGUUACCACGUCGUCAGCUUUUGAAACAAACAGCCGUCACUGAACCCUCAGCAAGAUAUUUGUUUACCUCCUGGUCUGACCUGUUAAGACUGUGAACUCCUUCAGGCACAGCUGAGGAGUGGAGUGUGUCCACAACCGGGAUCCAAACCUGCGAACCCUGGGCCGCCCAAGUGGAGCGCAUGGAACUUUUAACCACUUAGCCACAGGCUGGCCCCUUGACUGCUUAUUUGAAUUGGUAACUGGGCUAGCUACUCUUUUUUCAUACAACAUCAUUUUUAUUUGAAAAUACAAUUGAC
rnacentral:lncRNA from 1 species